rnacentral:lncRNA from 1 species
UUGAAUUGGAGUUGGUAGGCGGAAGAACCGAGGGAAGCAUCUUAUAUGUUCUUGUCUGCCAUUUUCCACCGAAAAGAAAUAACCUGAGCAUUCUUAAACAAUAAGGCCGAGAGAUAAAUAAGGGAGAGAGCCAAGGGAGUCAAGAAAAUUUUAUCUUCCUGAGAGAAAGACUUGAGAAAGAGAGAAAACAAAGAGUGAGACAGACAGCUUUCUUCCUUUCUUGCUUCGUACAAAAACGGGAGCGAGAGUGAGUGAGACUGAGUGUGAGGAAAAAGAGUUUGCGAGCUUCACCAUCAGCUAACCAAGAAAAUUAUACAAACGAAGGCAAGGGAACCGAGAGGUCGAGUGAUAGGACCUGAGGAGUUGGAAUAGCAAUCUGAGCAGUCUGCAACAUUAAACUUUAGGAGGAAGAGGUAAACGUUAUAAUAAUUCUCUGUUUGGUUGGUUUAAUUAGUUAACAUGAGCUAUAUAUGCUGAGCUUAGUUAGGAAUUUAGCUUCUAGUUCAAGGAAGUUUCUUGCAGAAACUGUGAAACUGCAGGAAAAAAAAGAAAUUGCAGAAUCUGAGUUAAAGCUGGAAUUUGCUACUGUUAAUAGCAUUUCUUAAGAGGUGCAUGUAACAGAUUUAUCUUCAGUUUAUAAGGUGAAAUAUAGCCAUAGAAACUUGUAAAAGUUGGAACCGUGAGCUGGAAUAACUAAGUGUAAUUUAUUAAACUACUGUCAGUUUCAUCAGAAAAGGGAAAUGGAGAAUUUUGGUUGAUUUUCAUGAAUAAUAGCUCUAAAAUAUCCUGUGUUAACCUGUAAAGUGUGCAUGGCAUCUUGACUGCUUCACGCAUGAGGAGGUGAGCAUGAAAUGAGAGAAUUGAAUUCGAAGGGAGUCUGAUGCAGGCUGACAUGCAUCAGAUUUUGCUGCUAAGCUCAAGCAUGAGACUUAGUCAAGCUUUUCCUCUGAAGUCUGAUCAUAAAUAGCCAUACUUCAUCUCGGAUAAUUUGUAGUGGAUCAAUAUACUCUGUACGAGUAGCUGGAAUACAAAAUUGAAGAGAAACAAAAGGGAAAACUCAGCUGCUAAGUCACUGCCUGUUGCAAUCUGUUAGCUUCGACUGAGCAGAACUGAUAGAAAGCUCUAGAUAUCCCCUGCAACCCUUAGCUUCUAAACUUGUGUAGCAAGCUGUAGCAUGCCAUAAAGUCCUUAAACUUCAACAAGUGAGACAGAAACAAGCAGAACUAAUGAACUCAACUGACUGCAGGUGGCUUGGCUGCGGGAAUGAAACAGGUUACAUAACCUGUUGUUACUGCUUCUGAAACCUUACUAACGAAUACAUGAAAGACAUGUUAACUCUUUACCUUAACAGAUAGGUGCCCUGGAAAUUAGAAAACUUCUGGAAGCUUAACUUAAAUUUGAUAAAAAGGAAGCUGAUGCAACCUGCUGUGAAUCUGAGAGGGAGGAAAUUAACUUUGGAAGGGAUAGCUGCCAACCCUGUAAACUUCCACAGGUAGAACUGAGGUUGCCCUGUGGUUUAGUAGCUACGUUUAGCAUCAUGAGUAAGGUUACACUAAGGCAAAUGAGAGGAAAACUAUGAAAAGUACUGCGAGACUACCUUAUGGCCGAGAGAAAGAAGAAAGACUUGAUCAGUUCUUUCUCUUAGUUAACUGCAAAACUUUCCACAUUCUGUACAAGGCUUCUUGGUAGCUUAAUGAAUGUAGUUAACUUAGCUAGUUGGGAAUGUAGUUAACUUAGCUAGUUGGGACAAGAGAUUGAAAGAAAGGAUUUAGGGGAAACAAUAAAUGCCGAACUGUAUAUAUUGCUAGAACUCAGCUAACAUAGUAAUGAAGUGAACCCCUAUAAUAUUUUGGAACGCUAAACCAACUUAACAUAAUUAGAUACAUAAAACUGUUGCUAAUCACUUAAUCCCUUCCAUGAAUAUUUUAAAGACUAUAAAAUUUGAGGGGCUGGUGUAGUGGAAUGAAAUUUAAUUUACAAAUAACUAGAGUUUAAUUUAAAAGGGAACCAAUGGAGUACUCAUAAGCUUUAAUCUUAGAAUCUUGGGUGGAAAAUGAUUUAAUCCUAAUGUAAAUAUUUUAUAAAUUAUAAACUUGGAAAAUACGUAUAUUUCUUGGUUUAAAAUGAUAAAAUCAAUAAGUCUCGAAAUGAAAUAUGGAAUAAAUACUGAUUUUAUAUUUUAUAUUUUAAAGUCAAACUUGAUUUUAAUACUUAAAUAAUAGGAUAAUAAAUAAUAAGUGAACAUCUACAAAUUAUAUAUUUACUUUGGAAUUAUGAACUUGUCUCAGGAAGUAGCUAUGAGUCAGGAAACGAACCUGAGGGUCGAGAAUAAUUUAUUUGGGUAUUUGGUGAGUGUUUCCGAAUUUAUGUGUUUAACUGUUUAUGUGUAAUUAAGUGCAAUUAUGUGACAAAUGUACUUAUUAUGAAAUAUUACUGAGUGAUUUAUUGUAAAGUGUAUCUCAAUUGUCCAUCGCCUUCUAAAUUGGAAGUGUACUUUAUCGCACUCGGCUUAGUUGAGAUUGAAGGUUGAUAAUUGAUCAAGUGAUAUUGUAAGUGUGUAUGACUGUAAGCCGUGUGUGUAUUUUAUCACACUGGCUGAACUGGCCCCCAAAACCCUCUGUUCAAUGGACUAUUCGAGCCAGCAAAGGGCUUGGUUGGUAGGACGGUAGCUUUGGGUAAAUGUUUCGGUAUACUCGAGUAUUACCAUGAGGUUGGGAGAUUAUUGAACUGAUUAUUGAAUGUUGGGGAUUGUUUAUUGUUUUGGAGGACAUAAUGAGGUGAAUUGGCGGAAUGUGCAAUGACAUUGAAAUGAAUGUGCAAUGACAGUGAAAUGAGUGUCUCUUGGCACUGAAAUGAAUGCUCAAUGACGUUGAAAUGGCUCUAAUGAGAGCAUCAUAUCCUUUUAAAAGUUAUUGUUUAGUGAAGUGUUUCCUCAAUUGCUUAAUGAAAGUGAUUGUAUAGUGAAAUGUUUAUUACUUGCUUAAUUGUAUUGAUUUAAGUGUUAUUAAAAGUUACUUGCUCAGCAAACCUCACUGAACUUUAGCUCAGUUCUUUAGUUUUGUUUUUCUUACAGGAAUUGGUGGUCGGGGAACGAACGAGGGAUUUUAGGGAGUUAACGUGAACUUUUGUGAUUGUAAAUCCUUUAGUUUCAUAUUAUGGUUAAAACUUUUGUAUUGAAAUUGGUAUUGUAAAAUAUUGGAGCGUUUGGUUUUGGUUUA